UACCCGAGACCCCGUCCGGUCCAUCAGC
rnacentral:sRNA from 1 species